UCUUAUUAGUUAAGUCAAUAGUUGUGUUGUUAGUGGCAGUAAUAAAAUUAUUUUUAAAUUUCAUUUUUUUAGUAGAGUGAAUCGAAAAAAAUAUAUAAGAGUUAUAGAGUAAAGUACUGUAAAGGAAAGAUGAAAUAUAUUGAAAAUUUAAUUUAUAUAAAGUAAAGUUAAAAACUUGUACCUUGUGUAUUAGGGAAAAUCAAAAUAAGCUUAAUAAAAGAGAAAUCCCGAAAGAAGAAGAGCUAAUAUAAAUAUGUAGUUUUCGUUUUAAUGAAAUUAUAAAGUUUAUGUUAGUAGUGAAAUGCUAGCCGAUUUUUCAUAUCUGGUUAUUGGUGAAUUAAAUUAAAUUUAAUUAUCUAGUGGUAUAAUAAAGCUAUAAGAUAGUAAAGAGUAGGAGGGAAAAGCUUCUUAUUCUAAAAUAGGUGAAUCAUGAUAAAAGAAAAAAGAGGAUAUUGUUGAAUUAGGCUUAAAAACAGCCAUAUUAAUAAAACGUUCUAGUUAAUGCAAUGUUGAAAGUUAUUAAUAUUUUAAUAAUAAAUCUGAUUUGAGUAGCCAAUUGUUAUGAUAAAUAGAAUAUCAUAAGUAAUAAUGAUUUUAUUAGUAGAAAUAAUAUGUGAUGAAAUAAAGUAAAAUAAAGGUAAAAUUCUUAUAUAUUUGAGGUAUAAUUAAGGAACUCGGCAAAUAUUACUUUUGCCUGUUUAUCAAAAACAUGUCUAUAUGAUUGUUAUAUAAAGUCUAGCCUGCCCACUGAUUUAGUUUAAAGGGCCGCGGUAUAUUGACCGUGCGAAGGUAGCAUAAUCAUUAGUCUUUUAAUUGAAGGCUUGUAUGAAUGGUUGGACAAAAAGUAAGCUGUCUCAAUUAUAAUAAUUGAACUUAACUUUUAAGUGAAAAGGCUUAAAUAAAUUAAGGGGACGAUAAGACCCUAUAAAGCUUGACAAUAAUUUAAUUAUACUAUCAAUUGUUAGUGUAACUUGGUUUUAAUUAAAAUUUGUUGCGUUGGGGCGACGAGAAUAUAAUAGGUAACUGUUCUUAAAUAUUUAAUAACAAAUAUAAUUGAAAAUUAGUGUGAUCCUCUAUUAGCGAUUAAAAGAUUAAGUUACUUUAGGGAUAACAGCGUAAUCUUCUUUGAGAGUCCAUAUCGACAAGAAGGUUUGCGACCUCGAUGUUGAAUUAAGGUAUCCUUAUGAUGCAGCAGUUAUAAAGGAAGGUCUGUUCGACCUUUAAAUCCUUACAUGAUUUGAGUUCAGACCGGCGUGAGCCAGGUCGGUUUCUAUCUCUUAAUUUUAUAAAAGGUAUCUUAGUACGAAAGGAUUAGAUAGCUGGAAUAAUUUCUACUUGAUGUGAUCAAGCGUAAUAUGUCUGUUGCCUUGGCAGAGUUAUGCAUUGGACUUAGGAUCCAAU
rnacentral:rRNA from 1 species